rnacentral:lncRNA from 1 species
UCAAAUAAGUAAUCAAUAACUAAUCAAGUAUACUUACUAAACGAAAUUGAAGAAUGCAAAUAUACCAUCUAAUUGAAGCAUAAUUUCCUUUCACUUAACCAUCAUCAAAGCAUAUUCCUCGAGGACAACAGUUAAUCAACCUCAAACAACAAUUUAACUAAAUAAAAACAUAAAUUGAAGCAGAGAGAUGCAAUUAUUACUGUACAAGAACAAGUCGCCCAUUCCCCUCACCCCAAACCUGUUCUUGAUCAUCACCGUCGCCCUCAUCCGCAUUAUCGCCUUUAGGGACCGUCACCACCAGCUCCCCGUCGGUAUAGACGGCGCUGGCGAGCUCCGGCCGAGUGGCGGCCGGAAGGCGAAACCGCCACACAUCCAGCUCCAGCUCAUCCAUUGACAAAUCAAGAACAUUGGUUCCUCUAACAACAAUCUUUGUAACACCCGGAUAGAUCUCAAUCGUGUGGGCCCUGACAUCGUCGCCAAUAUCGUCAUCGGUAGUGACAACGAACCGCAGAGAGUUGGAGGUUUCCUGGACCAAAACGUCGGCGUCUGAGUGGAAAGGAAGCUCGAGAACUUUGGCGAAGAUGUGAGGGAGUCUACGGAGCUUCUUUUGCCUGUUUAGGGUCAGACUCGAUGCGAUGUCGUACCGGAAUGUGAUGUUCCUUUUCUUCGGAGCUGGGUGAACCUUCAUCCUCAAAAUCGGAAGGAAAAAUUAAUAAAAGCCCUAACUUUUCAAUUGGGCUUUCAAAUAUUGCAAAUUCGUUACAAAACCCUAACCAAGAGAUUUGAUUAUACGUAGAUAUAAGUAUUGUGUGUAUAGAUUCUUGGCUUGGAGAUAGAAAUGGACUGUCUGAGAAAAGAAAGAAAGAGAGGGAAUCGGGAAAGAUGGAUUUGCAGAUAAUAUCAUAUAGGGGAGAAGAUAAGAAUGUGUUUUAUCUCAAAUUUGUUUACCGUCCUGUAAAAAGUAAGUUUAGUUAGGUAAAUAUAAAUAAAAAUAAAAAUAAAAAUUAACAUUGUUUAUAUUUGAUCUUAUAAAAUGUUAUUCCUUCCCCCUCAAAAAGAAUAUCUAAAAUAUAUAUUUCACACAAAUUUUUAAAAAAAUAAAAGAAAAAUAAUAAAAUAAAUAUCACUUUUACCCUUAGGCUAUGUUUAUAAUUAUAAUUUCAAGAUUAUUAAGUCAUUUUAUAAUCUUUAGAUUAAUAGUCUCAAGUCUAAAUUUAAAAACAAACAAGACACCUAAGAUUAAUAGUCAUAUCCCAAAUACAGAAUUUAUGUAACUAUACUAAUGAAUCAUGUCUUUUUAAAGUUGAACCUUAUUUAAGUAUGUUUUUAAAAAUAAAUUAGUCUUAAUACGUAUUUUAUAUUUUCUUCGUAUACUUUUAAGCUUCCUUUUAUUGAUAAAAAAAAAUUGUAUUAAAGUCAUGAUUUGAAGGGGAAUAUCAUUAUAUACCUUCUCAAAGCCACAAAAAAAAAAGUCACAUUUACCAAAUUUUAUACGCUAAAGAUUUAGUUUUAUAUCACUUUUAUAAUCAAAAAUUUAAGUUUUUAGUUUACUAUAAAUGUGAAGUGACAUAAAAUUGUGAGAAUAUUAUGUCAAUUUAUAUUCGGAGGAGAGCGAUUUGAUUCGGUGAAGAAAAUUAAUAAAACUAAUACUUUUUUUUGUUUGAAAAAGAAGUAGCAUUUUUAAUACAUUUCUCUUUUUUUGGUUAUUUCUUCAGGAACUUAUUUGAACCCUUCAUGUCUUCUAUGAAUGGUUAUCUAUUUUAAUACAAUAAAAUAUGUUUACGCAAUAUUGUUUUGAAAAUAACUAAACAUUAGAUUGAAAAAUAUAAUUCUCUUUCACAUAUAUAUAUUGGUAAAAAAAUUGUGGGCUUCCUUUCUUUUAUUGUAUAGGUGUUCAUAUUGACAAAAUUUUGACAUAAUAGUCAAAGAAACGGUGAUCACAGAAUUGAUAUUUUCACAAGUAAAUUUGAUAGUUUCACAAGUUACUCCUCACAUGAAUAGUAAAUGGGUAACGAUUUUAUAUGAAUUCUGAUUUGAUAUCCGUACGCACGCACGCACGCACGCACGCACGCACGCACGCACNNNNNNNNNNNNNNNNNNNNNNNNNNNNNNNNNNNNNNNNNNNNNNNNNNNNNNNNNNNNNNNNNNNNNNNNNNNNNNNNNNNNNNNNNNNNNNNNNNNNGAUGCAAUUAUUACUGUACAAGAACAAGUCGCCCAUUCCCCUCACCCCAAACCUGUUCUUGAUCAUCACCGUCGCCCUCAUCCGCAUUAUCGCCUUUAGGGACCGUCACCACCAGCUCCCCGUCGGUAUAGACGGCGCUGGCGAGCUCCGGCCGAGUGGCGGCCGGAAGGCGAAACCGCCACACAUCCAGCUCCAGCUCAUCCAUUGACAAAUCAAGAACAUUGGUUCCUCUAACAACAAUCUUUGUAACACCCGGAUAGAUCUCAAUCGUGUGGGCCCUGACAUCGUCGCCAAUAUCGUCAUCGGUAGUGACAACGAAUCGCAGAGAGUUGGAGGUUUCCUGGACCAAAACGUCGGCGUCUGAGUGGAAAGGAAGCUCGAGAACUUUGGCGAAGAUGUGAGGGAGUCUACGGAGCUUCUUUUGCCUGUUUAGGGUCAGACUCGAUGCGAUGUCGUAGCGGAAUGUGAUGUUCCUCUUCUUCGGAGCUGGGUGAACCUUCAUCCUCAAAAUCGGAAGGAAAAAUUAAUAAAAGCCCUAACUUUUCAAUUGGGCUUUCAAAUAUUGCAAAUUCGUUACAAAACCCUAACCAAGAGAUUUGAUUAUACGUAGAUAUAAGUAUUGUGUGUAUAGAUUCUUGGCUUGGAGAUAGAAAUGGACUGUCUGAGAAAAGAAAGAAAGAGAGGGAAUCGGGAAAGAUGG